ACGUUUCCGCGGCCUGCCUGUCUUCCGGGCCUUGGCUCUCUCCGCCUCUCUGUCCUUGUGUGUCUCUCCUGUCUCCAUAGUGUUCUCACGCUCUCUCUCCCUUACUCUGCUCUUCCUCUCUGAUUUGAUCCCUUUUGCUCUCUGCCUUUUUCUGACUCAUGCCCGAACCUUGUCUUAUCUUUGUCUCUUUUUUUGGUUGUGUCUUUCUGCCUGUGCCUCCCUCCAUCUCUCUCUCUCUCUCUUUCUGUUCUGUCUUCACUCUUCCAGUUUCCACUUCUAAGUCUUGCAUACACACACACACACACACACACACACACGUUGCCACACAGCCCCUCGCCCUGUCCCUGGGUGACAAGCUCAGGCGCUGUGGGGUGUGGCGCUCAGCAGCAGGGGAGACAGUGAGCAGGGAGGAGAGGGGGAGGAAGCACGCCUCCCCCAGCCUGGCCCGAGGCACCAGGAACAGGCCUUGUUGCUGGUGGCGGCCUUGGCGGGCCUGGGCUUGGGCCUGAGCCUCAUUUUCAUCGCUGUCUACCUCAUCCGCUUCUGCUGCUGCCGGCCCCCCGAGCCACCCGGGUCCAAGAUCCCCUCGCCCGGGGGAGGCUGCGUCACCUGGAGCUGCAUUGUCGCCCUUCUCGCCGGCUGCCCACUUCAGCGCACAGCAGGAAGGACUGUCCCAUUUGAUGGAUGGAGAAAGUGAGGCUCUGGAGAGGAAGUGAAUCAAGGGCAGC
rnacentral:sRNA from 1 species